rnacentral:rRNA from 1 species
GUCCUUUUGAAUGUAUUUAAGGUCUGACCUGCCCAGUGAUUUAUUUUAACGGCCGCGGUAUAUUGACCGUGCAAAGGUAGCAUAAUCAUUAGUCUUUUAAAAGAGGGCUGGAAUGAAAGGUUUGACGAGGUAUUAACUGUCUCAUUUUAUUUGUAUUUAGAAUUUAACUUUUUAGUCAAAAGGCUUAAAUUUAAUUGGAAGACGAGAAGACCCUAUAGAGCUUUAUAGUAAUUAUUUUAAUUAUAAAUAUAUAAUUUUUAACUAGAUAUUUUACUAUUUUGUUGGGGUGACAGAAAAAUAAAAUUAACUUUUUUAUUUAUAUAACAUUAAUUUAUGGUUAGUUGAUCCAUUAUUAUUGAUUAUUAGAUUAAGUUACCUUAGGGAUAACAGCGUAAUUCCCUUCCAGAGUUCAUAUUUACGAGUGGGGCUUGCGACCUCGAUGUUGGAUUAAGAUAAUAAUUAGGUGUAGCCGCUUAAUUUAUAGGUCUGUUCGACCUUUAAAUUCUU